ACCACACGGCAUCGUUGUGGGGUGGUUGUGGCUGUGGUGUGGUUGUGGUACCUACGUCUGAAUUGACCCUUAUUGUAUUUGUAUGACGGUACAUUUGUCAUGCAAAGAGGAUUUAAAACUCCGUCCCUAGUUGGUCUGAGGCUGAGUCCAUACCAAUGACGAAAGAAAAAGUGCCUACCAACAUGUCAAAACUGACAAACCUAAACUGAAAUGUUAUAAAAAUCUUUCGUGUUUUCUCUGCUUCUUAAAUUUAAAGUAAAUUAUCAAAAUUCGCAAUGUAUUUACGUAAAGACAAGGCCUACAAUUGCCGGCACUGUUUCAAGCCGCCCGUGCGACGUCUAGCUCUGUUGCAGACUACAGACGACUAUGAAUGUUACGCCGAGAGCUAUGUGAAAUGCUUCUGGGGAAUGUGCCACCAGCACAAGAGCGUUGAAGCAUUCACUCUGGAGAAUGAUAAGAGAAUCAUUACAAUGCAACCCCGAAAACAGAGGCUAUACUCUGAUUUGCCGCAUUCAAAAUAAACAAGAAUUAAAUUAUUACCUACCUUAUAAAGUUAACCAACUACAAAAAGCCAAGUGUUUAGUAACAAUUUAUUUCAGGUAUCAUCAACCAAAUCUUUUAAUGUAUUUUGUCUGCCUUUUAAGACUUGUCUUACAUUCAUAUUUAUUCUUGAUUCGGAAAUAUAAUUAUUAAAUCUA